GCCCUUAUAGCUCAGUGGUAUGAGCGCGUCACUCGUAUCUGAUUGGUUGGCUCGCCAUCCAGUCAGUACAGCUAUGACGAGGUCCUCGGUUCAAUCCCGAGUGGGGGCA
rfam:Aspergillus terreus NIH2624 scaffold_2 genomic scaffold, whole genome shotgun sequence.